rnacentral:rRNA from 1 species
UACGUAGGGGGCUAGCGUUGUCCGGAAUCAUUGGGCGUAAAGCGCGUGUAGGCGGUCCGGUAAGUCCGCUGUGAAAGUCGGGGGCUCAACCCUCGAAUGCCGGUGGAUACUGUCGGGCUAGAGUGCGGAAGAGGCGAGUGGAAUUCCUGGUGUAGCGGUGAAAUGCGCAGAUAUCAGGAGGAACACCAAUUGCGAAGGCAGCUCGCUGGGACGUAACUGACGCUGAGACGCGAGAGCGUGGGGAGCAAACAGG